rnacentral:rRNA from 1 species
GAUGAACGCUAGCGGCAGGCCUAAUACAUGCAAGUCGAACGGGAUCUGAGGGUAGCUUGCUACCCGAUUUGAGAGUGGCGCACGGGUGCGUAACGCGUGAGCAACCUACCCAUAUCAGGGGGAUAGCCCGAAGAAAUUCGGAUUAACACCGCAUAAUAAUACGCUAACACAUGUUAAUGUAUUUAAAUAUUUAUAGGAUAUGGAUGGGGUCGCGUGACAUUAGCUAGUUGGUAAGGUAACGGCUUACCAAGGGGACGAUGUCUAGGGGCUCUGGGAGGGGAACCACGCAGACUGGUAGUGAGGAAAGGGCCAGACUCCGACGGGAGGCAGCAGUAAGGAAGAUUGGUCAAUGGGCGUAAGGCUGAACCAGCCAGGGAUCGUGCAAGAUGACUGCCCUAUGGGUUGGAAACUGGUUGUGUUAGGGAAUAAACCUACUUAUGUGUAAGUAGCUGAAUGUACCUAAAGAAUAAGGAUCGGCUAACUCCGUGCCAGCCGCCGCCGUAA